rnacentral:rRNA from 1 species
AUUCAACGGCCACGGUAUUAUAACCGCGCGAAGGUAGCGCAAUCACUUGUUUCCUAAUUAGAGACUAGUAUGAACGGUUAAUUGAGGGUGCCACUGUCUCCUAUGGUUAGCCAAUGAAACUGAUCUCCCAGUACAAAAGCUGGGAUAAAGACAUAAGACGAGAAGACCCUGUGGAGCUUAAAACACACCACUAAUAAUGCAACUAUAACCUAACAUCAAGGCUUAACCCAUUGCUUUUAUAGCGCGCGUUUUGAGUUGGGGCGACUACGGAGAAAAGAAAAACCUCCAUGAAACAGGGCUAACCAUCACUACAAGGCACACACGCCACAUGGUCCCGCCCUCUUGACCCAGUACAACUGACAAUCGGACCAAGUUACCCCAGGGAUAACAGCGCCAUCCCCUUUAAGAGCCCAUAUCGCCAAGGGGGUUUACGACCUCGAUGUUGGAUCAGGACACCCAAGUGGUGAAGCCGCUACCAACGGUUCGUUAGAUAUACGAGUAACGUCCUA